UACGUAGGGCGCAAGCGUUGUCCGGAAUUACUGGGCGUAAAGCGCACGUAGGCGGAUUGUUAAGUCGGGGGUGAAAUCCUGGAGCUCAACUCCAGAACUGCCUUCGAAACUGGCGAUCUUGAGUCCGGGAGAGGUGAGUGGAACUGCGAGUGUAGAGGUGAAAUUCGUAGAUAUUCGCAAGAACACCAGUGGCGAAGGCGGCUCACUGGCCCGGUACUGACGCUGAGGUGCGAAAGCGUGGGGAGCAAACAGG
rnacentral:rRNA from 1 species